rnacentral:rRNA from 1 species
AUGGCCGCGCCGCAGCCUCGCCGCCACCAGGCCGCCUUCCUCCGCAGCAAGCCCCCUGCCCCCGCCAAUGGGAAUCGAGCCGCCGCCGCCUCCUGCAAGCCCAAGUCGCCCGCCACCCGAUUGAUGCGUAGGUCGCUGGAGGAGAGGACGGUGAAGCAGCUCAGGCUGACCAAGGCGCUGACUCUCCCGGAGGCCACCGCGGUGUCCGAGGCGUGCAGGAGGAUGGCCGCCAGGCGCGCCGACGCCGCGCUGCUCACCGACGCCAAAGGGGUGCUCUCCGGCAUCGUCACGGCCGAGGACAUAUCGGGUCGAGUGAUAGCCGAGGGUCUAAUUCCCAACACGACGAGUGUGUCCAAGGUGAUGACGCGGAACCCAGUUUUUGUCAUGUCCAACUCGUCGGCCACCGAGGCACUGCAGAAGAUGGUCCAAGGCAAAUUUCGGCAUCUUCCUGUAGUGGAGCAUGGUGAGGUCAUUGCCAUGUUGGAUAUUACCAAGUUCCUCUAUGAUGCGAUUUCUAGAAUGGAAAAGGCAGCAGAACAAGGUAGUGCUAUUGCCGCUGCUAUGGAAAGGGUCGAACGGCAGUGGGGAAAUGAAUUUGCAGGUCCGCACACGUUAAUAGAAAAUCUUCGAGACCACAUGUUCAAGCCUUCCUUAUCAACUAUCAUAACUGAAAAUAGCAGUGUUGCAUCGGUAUCUCCUUCAGAUCUGGUAAUUGUAGCUGCCAAAAAGAUGAGAGAGUACCGAGUUAACUCAGUGGUUGUCAUGACAGGGAACAUGCUGCAAGGCAUUCUCACUUCCAAGGAUUUGGUUUUGCGAGUAGUGGCACAAAAUCUGUCCCCAGAGGUGACUCUAGUAGAAAAGGUCAUGACUGCAAGUCCUGAUUGUGCUACAUUGGACACAUCAAUCCUCGAGGCUCUACAAUCAAUGCAAGAUAGAAAAUCUCGUCAUAUUCUUGUUGCGGACAAAAGAGGACAGAUUGUCUCCUGUUUGGACGCUCUACAGUUAACCCAAACAGCCAUCUCCAUGGUCGAGGGAGCCUCUGGACCAAACGAUGUGGCAAAUACCAUGGUUCAGAAGUUUUGGGAUUCAGCACUUGCCUUGCAUCCUUCAGAGGAGAAUGACUGGCAUAGUGACGAAUUUCGUACGGCAGCCUCAGAUAGUGCUGAAGGGAAGCAAACACCCCCUCAUGUUGGCAAUGCAUUCUCUUUCAAAAUUGAAGAUAAAGGGCGGAUGCACAGAUUCAGUUGCGUUUCAGAAAGCUUAGAUGAGCUUGUGUCUGCUAUUGCAUACAUAUUAGGAACAGAAAACAAGAAGGCAAAUGUAAAUCUUCUGUAUGAUGAUGAUGAAGGUGACAGAGUUCUUCUGGCUACCGAUGGUGAUCUCGUUGCAGCGAUUGAGCAUGCCAGAUCAGCUGGAUGGAAGGUUCUUAGGCUGCACAUGGACGACGCUGCAGGGACCGGCGCAGAGUCCACACAGAUGUCGUCUGUAGAUACUUCGAUGUCGAGGAGAUGCUAG